UCAAACAAGCAUUUAUUGGGCGCCUCCCGUGUGCCAGGCACGGUGCCCGGGGAGGCUGAAUACAUCUCAGCUCAACCCCCGCCCUCCCAGCGCUCCCCUCUGGGAGUUUGACCAGCACGGAGCCUGGGCUUGGCCUGGCUGGUCCCAUUUCACAGAAGAGGAAACUGAGGCCAGAGAGGGGGUGCUGGUGCAGGUACUGGAGACACAGCCAGGAACAAUGACAAUCUCCAUUCCCCAGAGCAGCUUUAUAACUCCUGUCUGAAUCGACCUCGUCUGGGACUGUGCACCCCGGGCGCCCUGCGUGGCCGCGAGAGCCCCACCAGCAUUGAUUCCGCGGUUACCCAUACAUGUCAGUGAAGCAGCAAACUUGCGGUUGUGGGAUCUGCGAAUCCUGAGGACAGACUGUGUACCGUUUCAGCUCGGGAGGCUGGACGUCCAAAGUCAAGGUGUCAGCAGGGCUGUGCUCUUCCUGAAGGGUCCAGAGAAAAAUCCUUCCUUGCCCCUCCCUAGCUUCUGCUGGUUGCCUGUGACCCUGCGAGUUCCUUGGUUUGCAGAUGCAUCUGCCUCCCUUGUCACAUGGUUUUCUUCCCUGUGUACAUGUACCCAAUUUCCGCUCCCCCCCCCCUUUAUGAUGGAUUUAGGGCCCAGUAUGGCCUCAUGUUAACUUGAUGACAUCAAGACCCUGUUUCCAAAGAAGAUCACAUUCACAGGUUCUGGGUGGAUGUGAAUUUGGUGGGGGGACCCUAUCCAACCUAGUCCAUGGGGCUGUUUUAGUAUGGGGACAUCAUGGGUGACCUCCUGGAGGAGGUGACGUUUGAACACGCCCCGAUGGAAGUGCGGGAGAUCUGGGGGUAAGAGGCAGAGGGAAGAGCUGGUACAAAGGCCCUGAGGUUGGGCUGUGCUUGACUUGUUCUGGUAUCAUUCAGAGGCCCACGUGGCUGGAGCAGAGUGAGCGAGCGGGAGAGAGGAAGGGAG